UUCAUACCUGAUAAUCAAUUUCAUGUGUUACAUUAAAAUAGUAACCCGAAAUGUUCCACUACAUAAGCCUCGGGAGAGGUUAUCGUCUUCCCAGGUUUCUCCAUUUGUUUCUCCAGCAUACUCUCUCCAUUUUUUUUAGUUUUGAUUAAAUUUGGAUUUGAUUGGUAAUCUUUCAAAAUCUCAGGGAUCAUCUAUCCUCAAUUGGUGUAUUUUGUUGGGAGUUAUAUUUGAUUGGUAUACAUGGAUUACAUCUUCAAUUUGAGGUUCUUAAUAUUUGGAUGUAUUUCUGCAGAAAUUUGUUGGUCUAUUGAGAACAUAGCUACCAUCUACCUCAGGCGAUGUUGAUCAAAUUCCACUUUUUGUAUAGAGAUUUUGGGGGCGAUUGGAAUCGUUGGAUUUUAUGCAGUUAAUGUAUAAGUAUUGGUCUCCUGACACAUUCUAAUUUUUGGAAUAUGAAACUGAGAACGUCUCACAAGUAUACAAGUUAUGAAUUUUUUACAUGUGAUGAAAGACUUCUACCCAAAAAAUGUCUUAGAUUGUCUUGGUCUGAGCAUCUGGUGGUUUUCAUACAAGGGAUCCAGAAUCACAAACCAAACACAUAACAUCAGUUGCAUACAAAAGUGUAUACAUUGCUCAGGUGGGACAUGUAUCGCUCCUUUUAUCCAGUAGGAGAGUACGUGUAACUGCCAGAACUAUCAGCAGUGGAAAAUUGUAGAGAGAAUUUUUUUCUCACCCGAUAGGAACCAACCAAUGUUUCGCGAAGAAGAUCAAUGUUCAUAUCCUUAAUGCAUUGAGAAGGAAGUCUACUCCUUAGUGCGUGCAUAUAACAAACAGGGAUGGUAUGACAAUGUCUUAGUUAGGAUCAAAUAAAAUUAAACUAUGAUAGUUAGGAAUAAGUAACAAAUUAAUGACAAAUUUAGUUUUAUUUGCUGAUUUUGCGAAGGUAUAUGAAAUCAUAUCCACUAUCUAUGGACCGUACUCUCGAUAUAAAACACAUCAUUUUU